rnacentral:rRNA from 1 species
UGGCGAACGGGUGAGUAAUAUAUCGGAACGUGCCCAGUCGUGGGGGAUAACGCAGCGAAAGCUGUGCUAAUACCGCAUACGAUCUCUGGAUGAAAGCGGGGGACCGCAAGGCCUCGCGCGAUUGGAGCGGCCGAUAUCAGAUUAGCUAGUUGGUGGGGUAAAAGCCCACCAAGGCGACGAUCUGUAGCUGGUCUGAGAGGACGACCAGCCACACUGGAACUGAGACACGGUCCAGACUCCUACGGGAGGCAGCAGUGGGGAAUUUUGGACAAUGGGCGCAAGCCUGAUCCAGCAAUGCCGCGUGCAGGAUGAAGGCCUUCGGGUUGUAAACUGCUUUUGUACGGAACGAAACGGCUCUUUCUAAUAAAGGGGGCUAAUGACGGUACCGUAAGAAUAAGCACCGGCUAACUACGUGCCAGCAGCCGCGGUAAUACGUAGGGUGCGAGCGUUAAUCGGAAUUACUGGGCGUAAAGCGUGCGCAGGCGGUAAUGUAAGACAGAUGUGAAAUCCCCGGGCUUAACCUGGGACCUGCAUUUGUGACUGCAUUGCUGGAGUGCGGCAGAGGGGGAUGGAAUUCCGCGUGUAGCAGUGAAAUGCGUAGAUAUGCGGAGGAACACCGAUGGCGAAGGCAAUCCCCUGGGCCUGCACUGACGCUCAUGCACGAAAGCGUGGGGAGCAAACAGGAUUAGAUACCCUGGUAGUCCACGCCCUAAACGAUGUCAACUGGUUGUUGGGUCUUCACUGACUCAGUAACGAAGCUAACGCGUGAAGUUGACCGCCUGGGGAGUACGGCCGCAAGGUUGAAACUCAAAGGAANUGACGGGGACCCGCACAAGCGGUGGAUGAUGUGGUUUAAUUCGAUGCAACGCGAAAAACCUUACCCACCUUUGACNUG